rnacentral:rRNA from 1 species
UACGUAGGUGGCAAGCGUUGUCCGGAUUUACUGGGCGUAAAGGGCGUGCAGGCGGUUUGUUAAGUGCAGGGUGAAAGCUCCCGGCUCAACUGGGAGAGGUCCUUGCAUACUGGCAAACUCGAGGGAGGCAGAGGAAAGUGGAAUUCCCGGUGUAGUGGUGAUAUGCGUAGAUAUCGGGAGGAACACCUGUGGCGAAGGCGGCUUUCUGGGCCUUACCUGACGCUGAGACGCGAAAGCGUGGGGAGUGAACCGGG